GAUCGACCGACCCCUCCUGUCCUGCUCCUGCCCACACGGUCCGGAUCCAGUCCCAACCCACCACCGCCAGCUCCACUUCCCUUCGGUUUCUGCUGCUCGUCGAAGCCGUCUCCGGCAAGGACCUGGCCGGCGACACCGCCUCUUCCAUGGCAGCCCGGCCACGGCCAGGCACGCCCUUUCCUCCCUCCCCGCGCUCUGGCCGUGGCCGGUCUGCUCCUCCUCUCUUCAUCCGGGGCCCCGGGUCGUGCCUCUCAUCUGGUUUGGAUUUGCUCGUCCCCGAUUCACCAUCCGUUUAGGCUUAGAACAGCAGCGCCUCAUUUGGUUUUUUCUCGUGCUCGGUUCGUCCAUUUGGAAUCGCGCCUGGUUUGAUUUUGCUCGUCCUUGCCGUCGCCUGUUUGGGGUGAUGGGGUCACGUCCGAUUCGAUUUUGCUCCUCCUCGCCUUGUCUGUGUAGAGUCGCUUCUGGUUCGAUUUUGCUCAUCCUCACCGCCGUCCGUGUAUAGUCGCGCCUAAUUCGAUUUCGCUCGUCCUCGCCGUUGUCCUGAUGCGCUUGCGUUUUCUAGGUCCGUCUCGCCUCGUCGGGGGUCUCCGUCUCAUUUGCGAACUAGAAAUUCUGUCUGCAUGCGCUUGUGUUAUCCGAACUAGCAAUCCUGGGUUUCGUGUUCGCGUCGGUUGCAGGAACGCACGGGUCUGGUUUCGAAAUUGGAUUACGGCCGGAGACGGGGAGCGAUGUUCGUUUAUGGUGCUAGUUCAGACCGGUUCCUCCGUUCCGUCACCUGCAUUGCUCUUGGUGAUUUUCAGAACUGAAAUGCAUGCUCUCUUCUGUCAGUUCUUGUUGGCCCUCUGUCAAUUCUUGAGUUCGAGGGUUCGUUAAUUCUUGAGUUCUUGUUGUACCGGCUAGGCGUGUGUGCUCUCAAUAUAGAUGUAGAGACGGGGUGAUUCCUUACGCUUGUUCUGAUGGUGUAUACUGUUUAUGUUCUUUCCAAUUUGUUUCUUUUUAUCAUGCUUUGCUUGUGUGUUGCCAUGUGGCCUGCUGCUUGACUAAUUGAACACCUGUUGCUGCUACUGUUGGACAAGGUUGCUUCUUUUUUUCCUGAUGUUGCUAUUUCCAUUGAAGUACUCAUAGGAGUUAUAGAUGGUCUGCUGCUAGUUAGUUCCCCUUAGACUACAUUCUAGAUUGCAUAUCAUAACUCGGGCAUAUAAUUCUGUUGUGAGCAUAACUCCAGAAUUUAUUUAUUCAUGAAAGCACGUUCAUCACAUGUUUUUUAUCAAUGUUGCUAACUUCUGUCACAUCCGUUUCCUCAAUUUCAACGAACCAAUAAUGUGGACAUGUGUUGCUUGUUUUCUUGUGAUGAUGGUGAUCCAAUUGACUAGCCCAACUCUUAUGCUCUGACAUUUGUUUAUCCCCGGUUAGUGUGCCUGAAAAAUUAUUGUUUGUCAUGUUAAAUUGUAUGGCAUCAACUCGGUAUUGUGAUUAAUGACCUAGUAUUUGUUUAGUGUACAUAGUUGACUUCUUUUUUCUUAAAUUUUUAGUGAUAUGCGUGUUUGUUAUGUCUUAUGUGGAUAUCAUAUUCUUUUUUUGUAUUACUAAUGUCCAGUCAAUGAAAAAUGCUUUUCUUGCUUUGCCUAGACUUUGUGACAAUUAACUUAUAGUACGAUCAUUGAUCAUUGAGCUUCUGACACCCUAUUCCAUAAAAUUAUGUGUUCGCUGUCUGGUUUUGAAUUUGGAUUACGAGGGCAGGGAGAGGCCAAAGCAAUGUCAGUUUAUCGUGUUUGUUCAUAUCGGUUCCUCGGUUCCGUCGCUGCAUUGUUCGUCGGUGAUUUCCAGACCUCAAACGCAUGCGCCCUUGUGAUACUCUGGUUUGGCUCGCUGGUCGUUAUGGUUGUUCACCACGGUUGUUCUUAUGUUCUUGAAUCGCCCAUCUCAUAAGCAAAGAUGGGGUGAUUCAUUAUGGUUGUUCUGAUGGUUGCUUAUUUAGUGUUAUUUCCAAUUGAGUUCUUCUUGUCAUGCUUUGCUUAUGUUCCCAAUGUCUGUCUUCCCAUAUAUGGGAAUGCGUUUAGGGGUGCAAACCGUGUAGGCCGUGGUGUGUAUUGUACCAGCUACAGUGUGUUUUAUACUAUCUGAUGUGGAAGGUAUAAAUAUUGAUAUCACUUAUGUGUUAUUAUACUUGAUAUGGUGUGUUUUAUUCAAGUUAUUAACCACAUCUCUUACAAAUUUUCCUUGAGAUACAUAUUUAUAUGGCAGGAAUGAUUGUCUUGAAGAAUAAUCAUUUAUGCUAACUUGGUAUUGGUAGUUCCUGGUCAUAGGUAGCAGACCAGUACUUGUUUAGUGCAGAUAACUGACUAUUCUUUUUUCUGAACUUUUUUGUGAUAUGUGUGUUAUGUGGAUAUCAUAUUCUAAAGCUUUUCUAAGUAUUUAAGGUACAGACAUGUGUAUCUGGACAUGUCACAUUUGCUCUUUAUUGUGUUGCUAAGGACACUGAAGGUUUGGCUGGGCCACUGCACGGGCUGGCUAAUGAGCAGGAAGUGUUGCUCUGGAUCAAAUCUGUAAUGGAAGAGACUGGCAGUAACAUUACAACCGACCAACUUAAAGAAUAUGUAUAGAAGACACUUAAGAGUGGAAAGGUUGUAGUGAUUAGGGAAGCUUGCAGAACUGUAUGAAUUUGAACAACAAUGGUCGAGAGCAGCACAAAUGCUUAGUGGAAUUGGCUUGGACUCAGAAAUCAAGAUGCUUGAUGACACAAACAAAUUAUCCAAGUGUGUCCAGAUUGCACGACUAUAUUUGGAGGAUGAUGACGCAGUGAAUGCGGAAGCUUUUAUCAACAAAGCCUCGUUUUUGGUCACAAACAGCAACCAGGAAGUUCUGAACUUACAAUACAAGGUCUGCUAUGGGAGAAUUUUAGAUCUAAAAAGCUGCACUUCAAUAUUGUGUUAUCUCUCAAAUUGAGCAAUGCCAAAUUGGGGAUGAGUAAGGCUUACUCCAUUCAGUUGUAGAUUUGUUUCUCUCGUGCAAUUUACUCGUUUUUAAUGUUCUAUCUUGUAUGGUUCUUUGUUGCCUUGCCGGUGUAGUGGUGCCUAAUUUCUAUUUUACACCCUUCAAAUAUUUCAAUGUUUUGCUUACUGGAUGUAAUAUAUUACCCUACUUGAUACUCAUGUUUAAGUACUGCAGUGGUUAUUAGCAAGUCGUGUUUGGAACUGAUACCACCUCCAUAUUUUAUUCUUAAAGAUCUUGAUGGAACAUUGUUUCUAUAUUUUCUCAGAUAGAUUGAUGAAAAUGCUCUUGAGCAUGCUCUUAGUGCUGCUGUAACAUGCACAAUAUUGUAACUGAUGAGAGGCAGCCACUGUUGCCAACUUGAAAUUAGUUUACUCAUUCAAGUUCUAGAAUUUCUUUAUAGCUUUCUGAGUUUACUUCGGUCUUCCAUGUAUUGGAUUUCUCUUUGUGCCCCUAUCUAUGUUCGUUUCUUGUGUGCAAGUGCUCCAUUCUAUGUGUGUGACUGUGUGUGACUUGAUGAAUAUGUGUGUGGCUUGACUCUCUGUGCGUGUGUGUGUAGUUUGACUUUGUGUGUGUGUGUAUAGCUUGACUGUGUGUGGCUUGAUGCCGAAUAUGUGUGUGGCUUGAUGGUGAAUAUGUGUGUGGCUUGACUCUGUGUGAGACUGUGUGUGGCUUGAUGCUGAAUAUGUGUGUGGCUUGACUCUGUGUGAGACUGUGUGUGGUUUGAUGCUGAAUAUGUGUGUGGCUUGACUGUGUGUGUGUGUGUGUGUGUGAUUUUGUGAAAAUUGCAUUUGUUUGACGGUGUGGCUUGUAUGCUUUGCUGAAUAUUUGGUUGUAUAACUUGUGUUUUAUGUCACGACUGAUUGCUUUGUUGUUUGUUGAAUGUGAACAGACCUAGCACUAUAUUUUUUCUAAACUUUUUGUGAUAUCAUAUCCUUUUUUGUACUAUUGCUGUCCAGGCAAUUGAAUAAUGCUUUUCUCUAAGUAUUUAAGGUACAAACAUUUGGAUCCGGACAUGUCACAUGGGCUCUUUAUUGUGUUUUUAAGGACACUGAUGGGUUUUGUUUGCAUGCAACACAGAUGUGUUGUAUCCAUAACUACCUAUUGGCACCAGAUAUUUGUGCUCAAAAUGCAGUAUGGACCAACAAAAUGGUCUCAUUGCAAGGUCACUACCUGGACAUAUAGGCAAGCAAUGUCAAGAGAGGUGGCAUAAUCAUCUGAAUCCAGAAUACAGAGAGAUGGUUGGACUACUGAGGAACAUGCACGAAUUAAUACCCAUCGGGUAUAUGAGAAUAAAUGGGCAAAAAUAGCAGAAGUUGUUCCUAGAAGGCAUCUGAAUAUUGCAGGAAUGGGGUACUUCCAUUUAUGUAACUUCUAUUUGUUAUCAGUUCUUCUCACCUAUAGCUAAAGUCAAAGACGGUGAAUUAUUGGAUUUGCAAGAUACACAAAAUCAGUCAUCUUAAUCUUCUUUUGUAAAUAUGACUGAUGGUCCUGCUGAUAACGCUAUCCAUCGGCUUGUAAGUCAUGAGAGGCAACCACAGUUGCCAACUUGAAACAUAUAAUUUUUUAGGAAUGAAGAUCUGAAUCACCCUCACCCCUCGAGAGAAAUCAGUUUAGUCAUUCAGGUUCUAGAAUUUCUUUAUAGAUUUCUGAGUUUACUUCGGACUUGCAUGUAUUUGUGCCCCUAUCUAUGUCUGUUUCAUUUUGUUUCUUGUGUGCAAGCGCUCCAUUCUAUGUGUGUCUGACUGUGUGUGGCUUGACUCUCUUGUGUGUGUGGCUUGACUGUGUGUGUGACUGUUGCAUUUGACUGUGAUGUGUGACUGUUUGUGUGACUGUGUGUGUGACUGUGUGAAUAUUGUGUAUUUGAUUGUGAUGUGUGACCGUGUGAAUAUUGCAUUUUGACUGUGGUUGUGUGUGUGUGUGUGUGUGUGUGUGUGUGUGUGAUUGUGUGUGUGGCUUGUAUGCUUUGUUGAAUGAUUGGUUGUUGUGGCGUAACACUGCCUUUGCCGGUCCCAAGCCCAGAUGUGAAAGUGUGCAGGGAGCUGUAGUUACCUCCUUUGUAUUGUUUGCCUUAGAAGUGUGGAAAUUCAUGGCUUAGGUUAUUGUCCUAAUCAAAUAGUGAAUCCUAACAUAAUGUAGGAUUCAAGCUUCAAAUGCAUCCUUCCUUGCUAUGAAAAAUCUAGGCAUGCCAGGAACUUCCUGAUUCUAUACCUAAUAUAAUAUUAACGGGAGGAAGAUUUCAUAGUUCUCAAUAAGUCGUUUGCCAAUCGUUAAUACGACGUCUGUGGUUCGGUCUACCCGUGUCCAACCUUGCUACCUCUCCGAUCCAACUGGAGUUUGUGCAAACCGUGUCUGGGCUUCCCGUGUCCGUCCCGCCCUCAAAUCUUCCUUUUUUAGCCCUAAAAAUAUCUUCCUUUUUUUCUUCCUUCGCGUGACUCCUUCAGUUCUGCGCCCUGCCGAUCCCCCUGAUCUCACCUUCUGAACGCGCAGCCAACUCCACCUCCGCCUCCUUCGUGUGGCCAGCAGCGGCACACAACAUGUACUUUUCACCAAGAUUGUUGCACGGUAGGAUCGACGGUGGCAGGUGAGUCUGCCGCCCAACAACGGUAUGGCAUGGCCUGAACCAUGAGGAGUGUGGGGCUCAGCGACGUCUUUUGCUUUCUGAUUAUUGAUUGAUUUGUUCCUCGCAGUAUUUUCAAUCGCGUUUCAUGAUUUUAUUUUUCAGUUUCGUAGCAUAAUGUGUGUUCCUCACAGGCUAGAAAUGCAAUUAACUCAAUCAUGUGAAAUAUGUAGUUAUAGGCAGGUGUGUACAGUUAGGCUCAAGUUUCAUAGUGCCAAACUCUAAUCUUGAUACGCCAAUUGUGUCAUUUAUGUUGUGUGGCCAAUUUGGCAUCCAAUGCAUCCCAUGCUUAUCUUAUUUAUCUCACUCACUCAUCAGAGCACCCUUUUUUGUGAUAUGUGUGUUUCAUUAUGUCUUACGUUGAUAUCAUAUCUAUUAUUGUAUUACUGUUGUCCAGUCACUGGAAUAAUGCUUUUCUGAGUAUUUAAGGUACAGACAUGUGGAUCUGGACAUGUCAUAUUUGCUCUUUAUUGUGUUGCUAAGGACACUGUUCCUACAUCAGUGUCUAAACAUGGCAAAGUUCCAACAUCAACUCAAUGAUGCGGCGUAUCUGCAAUAGUUGGAUAUUUUCAUCCAGCUCCAGUACCACAACAAGCAUCACAGGUUUAGAUGGGUCCUUCUUUGUAUACUGGGCCACUCUUUGGAGCACUCUCUCGUUUCACCUGCAACAUUUGGUGUUGGUAGUGUAGCUGAACCAUUCCCUAUAGACACAAACACUCUGUUCAAUGUUGCAGAACGGUCGAGAAAGUAGCCUCCAGUACCUAACUGGCUUCAAGAAGAGCUCCUAAAGAAAAAUCAACUCCAUUGAGUGCUUCGGUGCAACAUCUUGACUAAUUCUGAUUCCAUGGAAUCUGAAGAUGCUGCAGAACCACCAAAAAGAGCUAACCAAACUGAUAGUAGAAGCAUUGGUUCAGCAAAAUCAAUCAAAGCUGAUGAAGCUGAUGAGGAUGAAGUUGAAGUGGCACGGAUGGCAGCAAUCAACAAGGAAAUUAAACGUGUGUUGACAGAAGUUCUUCCGAAGGUUGUCAUUGCAUGGAGGUUACUGAUGAUCUUUUUAGUGAGAUUGCAAGCAAAGUUAUGAAUGAAGAGGAUUCAUGAGUUGGUGAUCUUUUUGAUGAGAUUGCAAGCAAAGUUAUGAACAAAGAUGAUUCAUGAUCUGAACGUGAGUGAAUUAUACUAAAACUUAGUGUAAAUAGGAAAUUACAUUGUUGAUUAUCGCCUCUGUCUUGCAGCAAAUGAGACCAUUGGUGUCUCUAGCUCAAAGGAGACCACAACUAAAGUUGUAGUCCCUGCUAAGACAAACAAUGCUAGCUCUGAUGAUAUUGUGCUAAGUUCUCCUGAAGGUGCUCUUCUUGGUCUUACUAGUUAUGAUUCAGAUGACGAGGAUGAUGGUGAUGGUAAGGGUUUAAUUCCAAAUUUAUCAUCUAAAAUUAAAGUUGGUGCAGCUCAUCCUAAAGAAAGCAAGUUCUUGAACAACACAAAGCAAACAUGGUUUCCUAAAUUUAUUUUCUAAAGAAGGAAGAGCUUAUUAUUAACCUGUCAGUGUACUAGAGUAGGGGUACCCUAAUAUCCCGAACUUGUGCACGGGCAGUUGCAGCACCCCGCGGCAAGGCUUGCCGGGUGACCGCCAAGGUCCCCCGUGGUUCCUUUGGAGCCAUUCAAGAACAAAGUAUUCAGGCCAAGGAGACGA